AUCCCAUGGUUUGGACACUUCCUUAAUAAAUCCUUGAAUCUCUCCUAGGCUUCAUAAAGAGAUUCAUUGUCAUGUUGAGUGAAGUUGUUGAUUUCAGCUCUCAGCUU